ensembl:lncRNA novel transcript
AGGCGAAGAUAGAACCUUCAUGAGCGUGAGCCUGGGCCACAAUCCCAUAGGUCUCUGUUGGCAAAGCCCCAGGACAACUGAGACUCACAGAA